AACCUUGUAAAUGAGAUUUAAAUGUAGCAAAAUACUAUUGUUUAAGUUAUAAGAAAACCACUAGUUAAUGCUUUAAAGUAAAUUCAUACAAGUAUGUAAUAGAUUAAGCCGAUAAAAAGUAGCUCUUGCUGAUGAAGCCUUCAACUUCUGAGCAACACUCUGAUGUGAAGAAAGUUGCAAAAUACUUUUAAUUGUAUUCUUAUCCACUUUUAUGUACCCAUUGGCACUUUCUUCAGCAGUUUUUGUAUUCUUGGUUGGCAGCUGAAGUCAAUAGGAUUUCAUAUGAUUGGGAUCGUGAAUUAUCCACCACUGAACCUGAGUACUAUAAUGCUUCAAAGUAAAUUCAUACAAGUAUAUAAUAGAUUAAGCCGAUAAAAAGUGGCUAUUGCUGAUGGAGCCGUAAACUUAUGAGCAACACUCUGAAAUGAAGAAAGUUGCCAAAUACUUUUAAUUGUAUUCUUAUCCACUUUUAUGUACCCAUUGGCACUUUCUUCAGCAGUUUUUGUAUUCUUGGUUGGCAGCUGAAGUCAUUAGGUUUUUCAUAUGAUUGGGAUCGUGAAUUCUCCACCACCGAACCUGAGUAUUAUAAAUGGACGCAAUGGAUUUUUCUUCAGCUGUUCAAGAAAGGACUCGCAUACCAGGUCUCGAACUUGUCUUAAUUUUUCUUAUAUAGGC
rnacentral:lncRNA from 1 species